rnacentral:rRNA from 1 species
UACGUAGGGUGCAAGCGUUAAUCGGAAUUACUGGGCGUAAAGCGCACCGAGGUGGCUUCUUAAGUUGGAUGUAAAAUCUCCCGCUUAACUGGGAGGCGCCAUUCAAUACUGAGGAGCUUGAGGUCAGCAGGGGAAAGUGGAAUUCCCGGUGUAGUGGUGGAAUGCGUAGAGAUCGGGAGGAACACCAGUGGCGAAAGCGACUUUCUGGGCUGCACCUGACACUCUAGUGCGAAAGCGUGGGGAGCAAACAGG